GGUCCGGCCCGGGGCAGCCCGGCUGCGCUGAGCCCGACCCGACCCGGCUGUGCUGAUCCCGGCCCGGGGCAGCCCGGCUGCGCUGAGCCGGGCCCGAGGAAGAAGUAGAAGUUUUAACCAUCUUCCCAUGGCAUCUGACUUUUUUGAAGAGGAGGACUUUUCAACCACUUGCUGGAAGGGAAAUAAGAAGUUUGUUUCAAGACUCUUAUGUUGUUCAUCAGUGCUGUGAACAAACGUGGGGCUUGAGGAUACAUUUGCUGGUUCUCUGCAUUUUUGCUGAAGGAAGGACCUUGCUGUCUCCCAGCUCCUGUGGGCAUUAGGUUUCAUGGAUGUCUCUUGGGAAGAGGACAGCUCUGUAGAGCCUAAGUUUCAAAAGUAAUUUUAAAGAUUGCACCCAAGAGAGAAGCAGUGAGAUGCACAGUGGGGAACAUGAACCCAGCAGUCCAUCCUAUCCUGUACCUGCCUGAAUAUGGGAAGAGACCCAGUAGAAAGCCAGAAUGCAGCUGGGCUUGCAGUAUUUUUAACCAUAUUAAGUCCUGUUCAGAGUUAAUGAUGAGCUCAGUGAGAUGGUCUCAGCAAUGCUGAAGAAGGGAAGGACAGAAUUGGAAGGCAGGAACUAUUUCAAAGCAGGAUUCUUCAUCUUUCUGUAAUGCCCAAACAUGAAGACUUUAUAAACUUCAUUAGUGUCAUUCCCAAAAUGAAGUAGUGUCCUUGGGCUGGUGGCAACAGCUGGAGUUGCAGAAUUCAUAAAUAAUUCAGAGAAGGAUAAAGGAUCCUGCCAUCAAUGACUGAGCCUCCCUGAAAUCUUAUCAGUUACUACCAAGAUGAGAAGGAUAACAGGAAGGAGGAGUGCUUAAGUGGCUUUAAUGACAACUAAUUUCUACUGUUUAUCAAAUGACAGGUUGUUUUUUCCUCAAAACUCGAUUGUCAUGACAAGAUGCUUUGGGAAGUAAUUUUUGUAAAAUAAAAUGACAGUUUUUAGGCUACAAAGAGCUAUUGUAUCUUACUAUUGAAUGUUGUCAUUAUGGUAAAAUGCUGGAAAGUAUUUUUGAAGUAAUUUAACUUGCAUACUUCAUUCAUUUAUUUUAAUAUCUGUUGAAUGCCAUGUAAAAAGUUUCUUGCUGGAAUUCUUUUAUUCAAUGGAAUGCUUAUUGUUACAAUGCUCAAUUUAUUAAUGUCUGAAUUAUUGUUGCCCUAGCCUCCUGCAAAAAGUUUCUUUUUAGUAAUUCUUAAACAAAUAAGGAAUGAAUGAAGUUUUGUCCAUUUUGUGUUUUGAUCAGUGUAUUUUCCCUUUCAGUGAAGGUGUCUUCACUUUUUGGUAUGACACAACAGAAAGGUGUUUUGGUUUUUGUUUUUUUUUUUUUUUUCCCAACAGCACAUGUCUUUUGUGCAACGAUUUUUUAAUAUGUACACUGCCAAGAUACAAUUACUGGAAGGAGAGAGAGAAGCUGUUGGGAAUGUCAAGUUAUGCCAAAUUAAGAAUUAUUAGCUCUUACUUUCUGUGCAAUCUCUUCGACUAGAACUCGACCUAUUGCGUCUGGCGCGUACUUUGACUCUAGUGGAACUAAUGUGUCCUUGGAGUAGCAUUUCAGAGUAACUUCAGAUUCAUGCUUUUUCACAAGUCUGCUCUAAACUGCUGGGAUUAACUUCAGAGAAGGCGAGAGAUACAGGCUCCUUUGUCAGCAGCUGUGCUGGGUAAAGAAGGAGGCUUCGUGCACGCUUGCUUGCUCAUUCUCUCCCUGCUAGGGAAGCAGACUGAGCUGUUUCCCUGAGCACACACAGACUGACUUCAGCCAAAGUGAAUCCUGUUAUCAAAUAUUAGUUAUCAGUGCCCUGGGUCAGUGUGAUGAAAGGACAGGGCAUGCACAGACCAGCUGUGCAGACGUCAUGUCUGGGAAGGGUGCUGUGUUGACAAGAGUUGCUGAGGGCUGGCCCUGCUGUGUCGCAUUUUCAGCAGGUGCUGUUGCAUCUCUCGGAUGUGGUAAAAAUUGGACGUGUUAGAAAGCUGUGCAGAUCUGUCAUGCAUAAUAUUCACAUUCCAGGGGUACCCUGGAUAAUGCAGAAUAAACCUGUGCUCUUUGACCUACUCCUUCUGUGUAUGAGGGGAGAGAACUAGUUUGUGUGUACAUGCCAGACGCCUAUUUCAGGAAAAUGUAUCUGGUCAAGGUAUGGGAAUGGUACAAGUGUUUGCAUUAUCUAGAGAACACACUUUUUACUUCACUCAUCAGAGAGGCUGCCUCAGCCAACACAUGCCUCAGGAGAACUGCUUUUGACACAUCAGCUGCCUUGAGUGGAGAAGGGAGAACAGCUCCAGCAGGAGUGGCUGCUGUUGCUUCUCUACAGUGUUGAAUCAGUAGAUGCUGGAGUUUGGUGAGGCAUCCAAGCUCUUGCUAUUCCCUGUGCCAAAAUUACAAUGGUAUGGAUAAUCUUUAGUACUCAGAGACAUAGUAAGUGAAAGCAGUGCACUGAACAGCUCCUUCCACACUGACCCUUCCUGUGCAAAGGCUGUGGAGUGUAGGUGCCUUCCAAGAGCCAGCCUGGGCAUACAAAGAACAAGACAAAGCUGAGAGCAGCAGCACUGCUUGUGUCUCCUCCUCGGGCACUGCCAGGUGAAAAGAACACAGUCACAGAAAGGACUGAACCUCCAGCUCAGGUUUUGAGUUGUCCAUUAUCUUUUAUUAGUCCUUAAGGUAAAGGAUGAGGAAUAUGCAGUGGCAAUGCUGUACAUAUGGAAGGGAAGAAAAUCAAGUUCCAAGUGUGAGAGCUGAGCCCUGUUGCAGCAGCUCAGGGUUGGGCCAUGGCUGAGCUCUCAGCGCUGGGUUCAGGAGUGAUGACUGUCACAUGUCUCCCCUGGCCAUGAACUAAGUGCAAAUGACCUCCCCAGCUCCCUGAGACAACCCAUAAUCCAUAUGACUUUUUAUCUUAAAAUGGCUUAUUAAAGUACUGAGAUUGAAAUGUUUAAGGAAAUGCUUGUGAUUGCCUAGGAAUCUAUUUUCCUGCCUAAGUGGUAAUACACAGGUAAACCAGUAGUGCAAAAUAGCAUCUUACAUAGAGCACUGUCAUGGAUGUUAAGCUGAUGAGUAAAAUUUUACAUACAAGCACUUAAAACCAUCAAAUACUGUAGUUAAACUGCCAUACUGUUUAUGUAGUGCUAAAAAGACAACAAAGUAAAACUUCAGGGAAAGCACAUUUUCUUAUAAAUAUUCUAAAUAAGAGGUUGGUUUCAGGUAGACUUCCUGGCUCUUUGGUGAUUGCUGAAUAUGGUCUGAAUCUAUCAGGAAUCCCAAUCAUAAUGGUGUGUUUAGCAUUAUAAACACAUAACAUUUAUAUAAGUUCUCCGCAAAUAUGUUGGAGAAAACAUAGUUUACCUUCUUAACUGCUACUAUAUGGUUACUUUCUAACUCCUUUAAUUUCAGUUCUAACUUGAUUGAAUAAAAGGUGCAUUCCUGACAAGAAUCUUUGCAUCUGUAAUGGAACACUUGAUUUUAUAUGACUGUUUGCAUACUCCAGACAUAACAUUUUUACAGCAGUAUGUGUUGACAAUACACAGAGAUAAAAAUCAGCUUAUGACAAACUAAGGAGCAAACUUUUAAUAAGAACAAUGAAUCAUUAGAAAUUAUUAGAAAGUGAAUAUUAGAUUUUCUAUCUUUCGAAUGAAGAUGAUAUUUUUAUAGAGGUAUAAGCUUGAACAAAUGGCUGGGGGUGGUAGAGGAAUUCCUCACUGGCUUCUGUGGCUUUUGCAACACCUGGAGUCAGACUGGGUCAUCUUAGACAUCCUUUUGGCUUGGAAGGGAGUGCAAAGUCUCAGUGUGGCAAAUAUAUGUGAAUAGAAUAGCAGCUUCCACUGAAAAGUUACUCAAAGGUAACUAAUUAUCUUCAAAAAAAGAUUGGGAAAGGCAUUGGGAAUGUUCCUGUCUCCUAGUGCCAUGCCUUUUUCAAAGAUCCUCUUUCACCUGACUGCUUGCUCCUGUGGGGUGUUUCAUUGGCUGAGGUGGGUUUUUCUGGUUCAUCCAUCCUCGCCCCAUCCAUAUUAAUCAAACAGCACAUGAGCAUCUUUUCCAGGGCAAGUGUCUUCUGCAGAGUGUCUACUUCUACAAAGUGUAAUAUUGCCUUUCUGCUGUAAGUAAUUAUUAGGUUGAAAAUAAUCUGACAACGUCCUGCUGUGGAUAAAUUAGGUUUGCUCUCUACUAAGAUUAGUUAGCUGGCAUCCAUUCACUAACACAUUACAAGAAAAUUAUUGCAAGUUGAUUGUAUCCAGUUAUCUGCCUUUUUGUGUUUAAUAGGCUUUUUGUUGCCAUUCUGUCACCAAAUGUGUGCAAGUCAUACUUUUCCAAGUGCCCUACCGCCUGGGGAGAUGGUGUUUGCUGUCCUGUACCAUGAAAAGACUUUGGGGCAGAAGUGUUUGGAGAAGGGGAGAGGUUGUCUCCGUGUAGAUUUCUGAAUCUUAUGCACCUUUGGUUUUGGCCAACAGGGGUGUGUUCUGCUCUGUGGCAAUCAAUACAUUGCCACCAAAGUCCAAAAUGCCAGUAUAAUUAGCUCAUGUGUUUAAAUAGGUGUUGUUAUUUUUCAGCUUGUAUAUACAAGCCUGUUUUCAUGCAGAAGUCCAUAUUUUACUUGGGAAGAAUGCCAUGCAAAUCAGAAAAAGCAAGAAAAGUAUUUUAAGUUAUGUGCUAGUGUUUAACAUUUUAGAAGUAACUGUGAGAUCUUGCAGGUGCACAGUUUGUGAUAAUUGGGACUGGGGCUGGCCCAGCCUCAUCCCCAAAGGGCUCCAGCUGUGAGCAGCAGGUGAGCAGCACUGACAGCAAUGAGCCAUGGAGUGCCCAGGGGCACUGAGCAACCACC